rnacentral:rRNA from 1 species
UUAAGCGACUAAGCGUACACGGUGGAUGCCCUGGCAGUCAGAGGCGAUGAAGGACGUGCUAAUCUGCGAUAAGCGUCGGUAAGGUGAUAUGAACCGUUAUAACCGGCGAUUUCCGAAUGGGGAAACCCAGUGUGAUUCGUCACACUAUCAUUAACUGAAUCCAUAGGUUAAUGAGGCGAACCGGGGGAACUGAAACAUCUAAGUACCCCGAGGAAAAGAAAUCAACCGAGAUUCCCCCAGUAGCGGCGAGCGAACGGGGAGCAGCCCAGAGCCUGAAUCAGUGUGUGUGUUAGUGGAAGCGUCUGGAAAGGCGUGCGAUACAGGGUGACAGCCCCGUACACAAAAAUGCACAUAUUGUGAGCUCGAUGAGUAGGGCGGGACACGUGGUAUCCUGUCUGAAUAUGGGGGGACCAUCCUCCAAGGCUAAAUACUCCUGACUGACCGAUAGUGAACCAGUACCGUGAGGGAAAGGCGAAAAGAACCCCGGCGAGGGGAGUGAAAAAGAACCUGAAACCGUGUACGUACAAGCAGUGGGAGCACGCUUAGGCGUGUGACUGCGUACCUUUUGUAUAAUGGGUCAGCGACUUAUAUUCUGUAGCAAGGUUAACCGAAUAGGGGAGCCGAAGGGAAACCGAGUCUUAACUGGGCGUUAAGUUGCAGGGUAUAGACCCGAAACCCGGUGAUCUAGCCAUGGGCAGGUUGAAGGUUGGGUAACACUAACUGGAGGACCGAACCGACUAAUGUUGAAAAAUUAGCGGAUGACUUGUGGCUGGGGGUGAAAGGCCAAUCAAACCGGGAGAUAGCUGGUUCUCCCCGAAAGCUAUUUAGGUAGCGCCUCGUGAAUUCAUCUCCGGGGGUAGAGCACUGUUUCGGCAAGGGGGUCAUCCCGACUUACCAACCCGAUGCAAACUGCGAAUACCGGAGAAUGUUAUCACGGGAGACACACGGCGGGUGCUAACGUCCGUCGUGAAGAGGGAAACAACCCAGACCGCCAGCUAAGGUCCCAAAGUCAUGGUUAAGUGGGAAACGAUGUGGGAAGGCCCAGACAGCCAGGAUGUUGGCUUAGAAGCAGCCAUCAUUUAAAGAAAGCGUAAUAGCUCACUGGUCGAGUCGGCCUGCGCGGAAGAUGUAACGGGGCUAAACCAUGCACCGAAGCUGCGGCAGCGACGCUGAUGCGUUGUUGGGUAGGGGAGCGUUCUGUAAGCCUGCGAAGGUGUGCUGUGAGGCAUGCUGGAGGUAUCAGAAGUGCGAAUGCUGACAUAAGUAACGAUAAAGCGGGUGAAAAGCCCGCUCGCCGGAAGACCAAGGGUUCCUGUCCAACGUUAAUCGGGGCAGGGUGAGUCGACCCCUAAGGCGAGGCCGAAAGGCGUAGUCGAUGGGAAACAGGUUAAUAUUCCUGUACUUGGUGUUACUGCGAAGGGGGGACGGAGAAGGCUAUGUUGGCCGGGCGACGGUUGUCCCGGUUUAAGCGUGUAGGCUGGUUUUCCAGGCAAAUCCGGAAAAUCAAGGCUGAGGCGUGAUGACGAGGCACUACGGUGCUGAAGCAACAAAUGCCCUGCUUCCAGGAAAAGCCUCUAAGCAUCAGGUAACAUCAAAUCGUACCCCAAACCGACACAGGUGGUCAGGUAGAGAAUACCAAGGCGCUUGAGAGAACUCGGGUGAAGGAACUAGGCAAAAUGGUGCCGUAACUUCGGGAGAAGGCACGCUGAUAUGUAGGUGAAGCGACUUGCUCGUGGAGCUGAAAUCAGUCGAAGAUACCAGCUGGCUGCAACUGUUUAUUAAAAACACAGCACUGUGCAAACACGAAAGUGGACGUAUACGGUGUGACGCCUGCCCGGUGCCGGAAGGUUAAUUGAUGGGGUCAGCGCAAGCGAAGCUCUUGAUCGAAGCCCCGGUAAACGGCGGCCGUAACUAUAACGGUCCUAAGGUAGCGAAAUUCCUUGUCGGGUAAGUUCCGACCUGCACGAAUGGCGUAAUGAUGGCCAGGCUGUCUCCACCCGAGACUCAGUGAAAUUGAACUCGCUGUGAAGAUGCAGUGUACCCGCGGCAAGACGGAAAGACCCCGUGAACCUUUACUAUAGCUUGACACUGAACAUUGAGCCUUGAUGUGUAGGAUAGGUGGGAGGCUUUGAAGUGUGGACGCCAGUCUGCAUGGAGCCGACCUUGAAAUACCACCCUUUAAUGUUUGAUGUUCUAACGUUGACCCGUAAUCCGGGUUGCGGACAGUGUCUGGUGGGUAGUUUGACUGGGGCGGUCUCCUCCUAAAGAGUAACGGAGGAGCACGAAGGUUGGCUAAUCCUGGUCGGACAUCAGGAGGUUAGUGCAAUGGCAUAAGCCAGCUUGACUGCGAGCGUGACGGCGCGAGCAGGUGCGAAAGCAGGUCAUAGUGAUCCGGUGGUUCUGAAUGGAAGGGCCAUCGCUCAACGGAUAAAAGGUACUCCGGGGAUAACAGGCUGAUACCGCCCAAGAGUUCAUAUCGACGGCGGUGUUUGGCACCUCGAUGUCGGCUCAUCACAUCCUGGGGCUGAAGUAGGUCCCAAGGGUAUGGCUGUUCGCCAUUUAAAGUGGUACGCGAGCUGGGUUUAGAACGUCGUGAGACAGUUCGGUCCCUAUCUGCCGUGGGCGCUGGAGAAUUGAGGGGGGCUGCUCCUAGUACGAGAGGACCGGAGUGGACGCAUCACUGGUGUUCGGGUUGUCAUGCCAAUGGCACUGCCCGGUAGCUAAAUGCGGAAGAGAUAAGUGCUGAAAGCAUCUAAGCACGAAACUUGCCCCGAGAUGAGUUCUCCCUGACUCCUUGAGAGUCCUGAAGGAACGUUGAAGACGACGACGUUGAUAGGCCGGGUGUGUAAGCGCAGCGAUGCGUUGAGCUAACCGGUACUAAUGAACCGUGAGGCUUAACCUU